AUCAAAAAGGAGCGCAGACAUGAUGAAAUCACUGGAUCUCUUAUUUUUAGAGUAUUUAAUGGGUACCGUUUUUCAAGUAUUGCCACUUCAAUUAAUUCAGCUUUUCAAUCAAACAAAUGAUGGAACUGCAAUUAUUAGCAAUAUGCCAGGCUAUGCAGGAAAACAAGCUUUUUGCUGUGAAUGUGAAGAAACAGAUAUGAUUGUCUGGACAAUGAAUCUACAAACUACUGGUCUUACAUUCUUGAUUUUCACGCAUAAUAAUCGUUUAAGAUUAACGGUACAACUUGAUGGUAAUUUUAUUGACACAAGAGAAGGAGGACAAUUAAUAGUUGAUGGAAUUUUUAAGUAUAUUGAUCGAUUAGAUGAAGUUACAAAAUAAUCCAUGUUUCUGUUACCUUUGUACUGAAUGUUUAAGCAUUGUAAGUUUUAAAACAGAUUGAAUUCAUUAAAUCCCCACUGAUUGUAACUUGUAACACAUGAUGCAUAUUUUAUAACCAAGAAUAAAAAUAAAUUAGAUACAUACCCGUUAAACGUCACUCAAAUAAUUUAAAAGUCUUAAACAAUGUUUGGAGUACUUGCCCGAAAUGCCAAACAACUGCCAAAUAAAUCUGUGCACCGAAACCUUCUGAUGUUGAACUGGAAAGCUUUUUCAUCUGAAGUAAAAAAAGCAGAAGAUGCAGCAAAAAGUUCAAAUGUCAAUAAAGUAGAAAAGACAAUUUUUGAACGGAUUAUAGACAGAGAACUUAAAGCUGAUAUUAUCUAUGAAGAUGAUACUUGUUUGGCUUUCAAUGAUGUUGCACCACAAGCACCAACUCAUUUUCUUGUAAUUCCAAAGCAAAAAAUUACUCAAUUGAGUAAAGCAUCUGUAGAUGAUUCCAAGAUUUUAGGUACUUUACUUCAUCGAGCCAGUGCUCUAGCAAGAGAAAGAUUACCAAAUGGAUUUAGAGUUGUGAUUAAUGAUGGUGUCCAAGGGUGUCAAUCUGUUUAUCAUCUACAUAUUCAUGUUCUUGGUGGUAGACAAUUACAAUGGCCACCUGGCUAAUAAACAAAUUCUGAUAUUCUAAAA